rnacentral:rRNA from 1 species
ACAUCGGUGACAGGUGGUGCGAUGGUUGUCGUCAGCUCGUGUCGUGAGAUGUUGGUUAAGUCCCGCAACGAGCGCAACCCCUAUUGUUAGUUGCCAUCAUUCAGUUGGGCACUCUAGCGAGACUGCCGGUAAUAAACCGGAGGAAGGUGGGGAUGACGUCAAAUCAUCAUGCCCCUUAUGACCUGGGCUACACACGUGCUACAAUGGUUGGUACAACGAGUUGCGAGUCGGUGACGGCGAGCUAAUCUCUUAAAGCCAAUCUCAGUUCGGAUUGUAGGCUGCAACUCGCCUACAUGAAGUCGGAAUCGCUAGUAAUCGCGGAUCAGCACGCCGCGGUGAAUACGUUCCCGGGCCUU